CAAUGGGGCGCAAGCCUGAUGCAGCCAUGCCGCGUGUAUAGAAAGAAGGCCUUUCGGGUUGUAAAGUACUUUCAGCAGUGAGGAAGGUGGGUAUGUUAAUAGCAUAUUCAUUUGACGUUUAGCUGCAGAAGAAGCACCGGGCUAAACUCCGUGCCAGCAGCCGCGGUAAUACGGAGGGUGCGAGCGUUAAUCGGAAUUACUGGGCGUAAAGCGCAUGCAGGUGGUUUGUUAAGUCAGAUGUGAAAGCCCGGGGCUCAACCUCGGAAUUGCAUUUGAAAACUGGCAAAACUAGAGUACUGUAGAGGGGGUAGAAUUUCAGGUGUAGCGGUGAAAAUGCGUAGAGAUCUGAAGGAAUACCGGUGGCGAAGGCGGCCCCCUGGACAGAUACUGACACUCAGAUGCGAAAGCGUGGGGAGCAAACAGGAUUAGAUACCCCGGUAG
rnacentral:rRNA from 1 species